CCUCUAAUGCAGCCUCACACAGCGUGAGCCGGUCCCAAGCCCCGGAUAAAAUGCAGAGGGGAGG
rnacentral:ribozyme from 2 species